UAUGAUAGAGGCGCGAAAAAGAAGAGUAAGCACCACGCAAGGCGGCGGAAACCGCCGGUGCGAAAGGCUUUUUCGCCGAAGGGUAUCCGCCUUUCCGGACGGGUAUGCCUGGGCCGCGACAGAAUAUGCCGCGGACUGUCGCCUUUGGGCGGAGAGCUGUCAG
rnacentral:ncRNA from 1 species